CGGACUCUGGCGGGAGGGAAACCCGAUGAAGCGAUCUGGGGUUCACGGGUGCCGGAGAUUGGUCCGCAUCCCAGGGCGUUCCGAGACUGGACACCCCCACCCCAGCAAGGAGCCCUCUGACACGGGAGGCGCCAUUUUGGAGGCGGCUGGCCGAAGACUGGAAGAAGACUCUCCGGGUCGUCUCUGGAAGCCGUGUGCAUCCGGGUUGAGCGCAACACCUCUUGGAGAACCAGAUUCGGCUUCAGUGGCCAGGACUUUUACGGCUCUGAUUAUUUAAUCUGGGCUCCGGACUCCAACGUGGAUCCCGUCAGAGUAGAGACACUGUUCUCGGUCCCGUUCCCCGACCGCCAGACCUGGGCCCGCCCCCCACCAAAAAAAAAAAAAAAUCUUUUUUUUUUUUGAGGAACGAUCAGUGUCGAGCAUUCGGGAUUGGGAUGAUCCGUUUUUAAGGACUCCGUUGACCACGAAGUCACCUGGUCACCGACGGCUUUCCGAUCAGCGCGAAAUUUCUGUGCUUGCCGAGGGAUGCUUUGUCAAUAGUUCAGGAGUACCGCGUGCGAGGAUUGGGCGUCCGAACUGAAAAUUAUUUCAGGGGGUCUGCCCGGAGAGGGGUUUGAAUUUGGAUGACGGAGCUCGAGCGGAAA